AAUGGGGGCAACCCUGAUCUAGCCAUGCCGCGUGAGUGAUGAAGGCCUUAGGGUCGUAAAGCUCUUUCGCCUGUGAUGAUAAUGACAGUAGCAGGUAAAGAAACCCCGGCUAACUCCGUGCCAGCAGCCGCGGUAAUACGGAGGGGGUUAGCGUUGUUCGGAAUUACUGGGCGUAAAGCGCGCGUAGGCGGAUUAGAAAGUUGGGGGUGAAAUCCCGGGGCUCAACCCCGGAACUGCCUCCAAAACUGCUAGUCUAGAGUUCGAGAGAGGUGAGUGGAAUUCCGAGUGUAGAGGUGAGAUUCGUAGAUAUUCGGAGGAACACCAGUGGCGAAGGCGGCUCACUGGCUCGAUACUGACGCUGAGGUGCGAAAGUGUGGGGAGCAAACAGGAUU
rnacentral:rRNA from 1 species